UAACUACUCGUUCUGUUACUAUGAACUUCUAUAAAGGGAUAUUUCCAUAACCCUAUUGGGCAUCCUAAUUUACUGUGUAAGGAAUGUAAACCUUCAAUUCUAAAUUUCUUCCACUCAUAGUUGAUAUAAUCCAAUAUUUUCAUUUCCUUAAGCUUUUGGCUUUUACAUAUGAAAUGAGUGAAUUGGAAAUAAUAGAGAUUUAAAAAGUAAUAUAGAGUGUAAGGACCCUUAAUACCUACCUGAAUACCUACUCAUUUAGUCUGAAU
rnacentral:lncRNA from 1 species